AAUAUGAGAUGCAUUGGGUUAGGUGCUGGAGAAUCAGAAAUAGAAAAUGAUCCCUGUCUUCUAGAAAUACACAGAUUCAUAAGGAGAUGGGCAGUUAAGCUAUUUCAGUGUAGUAGUGAGAUGUGUGAAUUAAGAAAGCUGCUUUUUCUUGGAAGACUCCAUCUUGGGGCGUUGGAAAGGGCUUCUCAGAAGAGCUAUGAGGACUACCUGAUGGAAGGUGGGAAGGAAUCUUCUCGGCAGAGACAGAGGAGAUGACAACAUCAGGUGGAGAAGCCUUAGUUCACAAAGGUUCCACAGAGCUGUGCUCCUGAAUGUAACAAGGACACGAGGGCCGGUAUGAAACCCAGAGCUCUGGAGGGAAGAGUGCAUAUAUGCAUAACUGAAGAAACAGAAUUUUUCUAUCUUCUUCCCACUGGCAACAUAUCUGAAAGCCUUGACUCAGCAUUCAUUGGUUUCAAUGCUCACGCCUGUCCAUCCCUCUCGGCGGGGGUUGAUUUCAUCGCUGGCUUGCUUUCACAAUGUGACUGUGGGAUCUUGGUGCCUAAUUCCUUCUAAGUUCCAUUUCAGGGUGGAAGAGCAAGAACAAGCUCUAACCAGUAGACGGCCCAGUGACUCAGGAGCUUAAGCAUUUAACCAAUUAGUAAAGAAAAAUGUGGCAAAGAUUUGCAGUUAAUAAGAAUGAAAGAAGAAUCACUGGGGCCUAAAUUAUGCAAGCUUUUAUUUCCUCUUGGGACCAUAUUAGAACUUUGGGAGAAGAAAGGCUACCUUUACCUUUGAGGAAUUUUCAGAGCUUUGUUUUUUUUCUUUCUAUUGGUGACUCAUAGAGGGAAGGAUUUCAACACCUCAGAAAAAUGCCUCAUCACUUCCUCUUGUGAAAUCUGGGUGCUUUUGAAUGAAUCCAUGUAAGGAAUGUGGAUUUCCAUGUGUGAUGCUGAGGGCCCUUUCUCAUUUUAGAACAAACCUGGUACCCAGCGGAGAUGCUGGUUAGAAGUCACAGAGCACUUGCGUUCUGGGGAAGGAUUUAAUCAUCCUUGGAAAUCAGGAAAAUGCAAUAAUUUAAAGCACAGUCUUUUGUCAGGUGGGUUCAAAUCCCAGCUCGACCUCUUUCUAGUUAUAGGAUUAUCCCCUCUGAGCUCAGUGUUCUCAUCUCUAAAAUGGGACCACUUAGGUCUACUUCUCAGGGGUUUCUAAGGAUGAAAUAACAACAUAUGAAAAAUAUUUAUUUUAGUGUCGGGUACACAGUAAUCAUUCAAUGUCGUGGCUAUUACUAUUAACCAAAAUAAAAGUAGAAAAUGCACACAUAUUGUUUUGUUAAUAUUUAUAGCAGAAUCUUCUCUAAAUAAAGGGAAAUUUGAUUUC
ensembl:lncRNA